AGAGUUUGAUCUGGCUCAGAAUGAACGUUGGCGGCGUGGAUUAGGCAUGCAAGUCGAGCGAGAACCCCGCAAGGGGGGACAGCGGCGAAAGGGACAGUAAUGUGUAGAUUAUCUGCCCUCAGGCCCGGGAUAGCUGCGGGAAACUGCAGGUAAUACCGGAUAACAUCUCCGGAUCAAAGGUGUGAUUCCGCCUGAGGAUGAGUCUACAUCCUAUUAGCUAGUUGGCGAGGUAAUGGCUCACCAAGGCAUUGAUGGGUAGCGGGUGUGAGAGCACGACCCGCGUCAUUGGGACUGAGACACUGCCCAGACACCUACGGGUGGCUGCAGUCGAGAAUCUUCGGCAAUGGGCGCAAGCCUGACCGAGCGACGCCGCGUGUGGGAUGAAGGCCUUCGGGUUGUAAACCACUGUCAGAGGGGAUGAAAUGCAGGUGGGUUCUCCCAUCUGUUUGACAUAGCCUCAGAGGAAGGACGGGCUAAGUUCGUGCCAGCAGCCGCGGUAAGACGAACCGUCCAAACGUUAUUCGGAAUCACUGGGCUUAAAGGGUGCGUAGGCGGCGCGGCAAGUUGGGUGUGAAAUCCCUCGGCUCAACCGAGGAACUGCGCCCAAAACUGCCGUGCUCGAGGGAGAUAGAGGUGAGCGGAACUUAGGGUGGAGCGGUGAAAUGCGUUGAUAUCCUAAGGAACACCGGUGGCGAAAGCGGCUCACUGGAUCUCUUCUGACGCUGAGGCACGAAAGCUAGGGUAGCGAACGGGAUUAGAUACCCCGGUAGUCCUAGCCGUAAACGAUGUCAACUAGUUGUCGGGUCUUCAUUGACUUGGUAACGAAGCUAACGCGUGAAGUUGACCGCCUGGGGAGUACGGUCGCAAGAUUAAAACUCAAAGGAAUGACGA
rnacentral:rRNA from 1 species